AGGUCCAGCCUGCCCAGUGAAAAAUUUAACGGCCGCGGUAUCCUAACCGUGCAAAGGUAGCAUAAUCACUUGUUCUUUAAAUAAGGACUUGUAUCAACGGCACCACGAGGGUUACACUGUCUCCUCUCUCCAAUCGGUGAAACUGAUCUCCCCAUGAAAAAGUGGGAAUAAACCUAUAAGACGAGAAGACCCCAUGGAGCUUUAAGCCUAUAGCAACCUAGCAAAAUAUUUCUUAUUAGCUAUACAAACAUGUUUAUAAGCUUUAGGUUGGGAGGACCGCGGAGCAAAAAACAACCUCCGCAACGAAAAGACCAAAAUCUUUACCAAAGAACCACAACUCUAGGAAUUAGUAAACUAACGUAAACUGACCCGAUAUCGAUCAAUGAACCAAGUUACCCUGGGGAUAACAGCGCAAUCUAUUCUAAGAGUUCAUAUCGACGAAUAGGCUUACGACCUCGAUGUUGGAUCAGGGUAUCCUGGUGGUGCAGCCGCUACCAAAGGUUCGUUUGUUCAACGAUUAAAACCCU
rnacentral:rRNA from 1 species